CCUACCUAUGACGAAAAGUUUUGUUCCAGCACCGAAGAUUUUGUUGUAUGAAUUCCAGCCAGCACAGUAGUAAAUGCCUUCAUCUUCUUUUUCUAUGAAAUUUACCGUAAGGGUUGAAGUGAACGUUUGAGAAUUUUUCCUUGCUACAACUUUGUUGCUCUUUCCACCUAUUUGGCUUUGAGCUGGGACUGUUACCGAGCUCACGAAAAUCAGAUGCUCCAAAGCCUGAUUCAUUCUCUGCCGGUACCAGUGAACAGCUUCUGUUGGAAAAUUCGUGCUCUCUAUCUUGCAAUUUAUGUCGACACUUUUCUUUACUUCUGCGGACACAGAUAUCUGGGACUGCUCCACUCUGGAUAAGCUAAGCCCAACUGCAAGUAAAAGAAGAGAAUUUCCAAUGAAGUUCUGAUAAUGUAAGAAACAUCAAAGAAUUCCUUUGUUCACUCAUCUAGACUUGAAAGUUCAAGGAAUAACUCACGAGCCCAGAAGGAGAGGAAGGUAAAUGCUUCCAGCACUGACAUUCUGUCUGCCUGCCGGACUCUAUAAACUCAAGGAGAAAGCACGAACGUGGGACCUAGUGGCUGGGUGCCCCAAGUCAGUGGAAAGAGGGCAUGGCCUGAAAUGGGAGGGGAAGGAAGUGGUGGGUCUAGCAGGUCCUUGGGCUUUUAGUGCUAGCUGCAGGCUGCUCAGGUCUGAGCUUCCUGUUUUCUGUGGGGCUUGUGCUUGCUCUGCUGCUUUCCAGAUAAGGCUAGUGGUCUCUGGAGGGCUAUUUGGCAUGAACGUGAGGGGGCCCUGGAAGCAUCUUCAUUUCUGUGGAAACUGGAAUGGUUUCUACUCACCUAGGCACUAUUUUAUUUCUAAGCUAUGGUAUUGUAAGAUAUUGCGUGUUUAAUAAACACUGAAAUUUCUUAGCUAAAAUUUAAUCACUUUUGAAUGAAAAAAUGGUGAUUUCAAGUUAAAGGCAAACAGGGAAGCAUUAAAAAAACCCUUGACCCCAAAAGUAAAACAUUGACAUUUAUAGUAGCAAAUAUUUAAUGAGCAUUUUCUUUCUAUUUGUUAGGUUCUUUUUCCUAAAUGUUUUUCGUCUCACACUAAUUGCAGGAUAUUGAUGUUGCUAGUUCUCAUCUGAUCAGGAAAAUGAGGUUCAGAAGAGUGAUGUGACUCAACGAAAAUCACCCAACUCAUGGGUGGCACGUGCUGGUAAAAUGCUCAUUGAAGAAAUUCAGAAAAAUAGUGUAAAGAUGAUAAUAAAAUGCCUGUGAUCAUAUUACCAAGACCAACAACUCUUAUCAUUCUGAUGUUUUAAGUGCUGAAUUGCUUUUUUGCAGAUAUAUGGCUAUUAACACAAUGUUGUGGUGUAUAAAUAUAAGUUAUUCAAUGUCUCUUGUUUGGAGAAUUUAUUCUAUUUACAUUUAAAGUAGUUAUUGAUUCAUGUGUACUUAUUGCUAUUUCAUUAGUUGUUUCACAGAGUUUUUGUGGUUCAUUUUUGUUCUUAAGUUCUCUUCUUUUUGAUUUAAUUACUGUAUUUAGUGUUAUGUUUGGAUUCCUUUCUCCCGUGUGUGUAUCUAUUAUAGAUUUUUGCUUUGUGGUUACCAUGAGGUUUAUGUAUAGCAACCUGUAUAUAGAAUAUUUUAAGUUGCUUAUCUCUUAGGUUCAAACACAUUUUAACAACUUUGUAUUUUUCCUCCACACCUCCACAUUUACUAUUUUUGACAUCGUCUUACUUCUUUAGUUUCUCAUACUUUAACUGUUUAUUAUGAAUAGAGAUGAUUUGACUACUUUUAACCUUCCUGCUAGCUUUACAUGGGCUUUAUCACUUUUACUGUACUUUUACUGUACAUUUCAUCAAUAAGAUUUUUCCUUUCUUAAUGUUAAUAUUUUUAUCUGUGGUCUUUUCUACUUAGAGAAGUUCCUGUAUCAUUUCUAGUAAACUUAGUUUGAUGGAGCCAAGCUCUUCCUUUUUUUUUUUUUCUGGUCUAUAAAACUUUUGAUAUCUCCAUCAAAUCUAAAUGAAAACCUUCUUGGGGAGGCUCUCCAAGAUCAGCAGGUGAACCUGAUCCAGGCUCCUUUCAAAUUACUCUGGUGCCCCUGAUUUUGUGUACAUCUGUUAUGAGUAGAGUCUAUUUCCCACAGCUCUUUGGCUCUCCCCAAGCUAAGCCCUGUUGGCUUUCAAAGGCAAAGUUUCUGGGGUUCCUCUUUACAUCUCCAAGGAGCACAGGACUAGGGAACCCAGUGUGAGGCUUGGUACUCUCACUCCUCGUGGAGAACCACUGCAGCUGUAAUUAUCCUCCCAUUUGUGGACCAUCCACCCAGGAGUAUGGGUCUUGUCCAUACUUCAUCUUGGCCCUUUCUAUCCACUUGUUGUUCCCCCUUUAUAUCUUAAGUUGUAGAAGGUCUUUUCUGCUAGUCUUUAGAUCUUUCUCAUCAAUAGUUACUCUGAAAAUAGUUGAAAUUUUGGUGUGCCUGUGGGAGGAGGUGAGCUCAAGGUCUUCAUACUCUACCAUUCUUUUCUGAUAAUUUUUUUGGGGGGGUCUUUUCAGGGUUGCGUCCAAGGCAUAUAGAAGUUCCCAGGCUAGGGGUCAAAUCAGAGUUGUAGCUGCCAGCCCACACCAUAGCCACAACAAUGUGGGACCUGAGCCAUGUCUGCGACCUACAUCACAGUUCACAGCAACACUGGAUCCUUAACCCACUGUACGAGGCUACUCGUCCUCAUGGUUGUCUUUCCUUAGGGCUAGGAAACUUCAUAGAAUCCACUUUUUUUUUUUUUUGUCUUUUUCUAGGGCCACACCCGCAACAUGGGAUCUGAGCCACAUCUGUGACCUACACCAUAGCUCACGGCAACACGGAUCCAUAACCCCCUGAGUAAGACCAGGGAUCGAACUCACAACCUCAUGGUUCCUAGUCGGAUUCGUUAACCACUGAGCCAUGAUGGGAACUCCAAAUUCACUUAUUUAAAACACUAUUUCUUGUCUACAUGACUCUGAUGAACUUAUUACCUUCUAAAUCCGGCCAUCCCAUAGCACAUAAGGCUCUUUUUUACUAAUUAAAAAGAGACACACCUUUAUGCAGAAUUAGAAAAAGGCGCUCUUUUGAGGCUGAUUUAUACCUGAUCCUGGAGAAAGAGGGGUGGGCAUGGGAAGGGUACCCAGGUCCUAGGACCCUUAAGCAAGACACAUUGGUAGAACAUGCUACCACUGUAUGUGUGUGUGGUAUGGGAACAUCAUUGUAUAUAACUAUACAUUACAACAUAUUGUAUCUCCUCCUCAUUCUGAUAUUGGAAGAAGGCAUUUAAAUAUUAAGUCAUCCUUAGUAUUUAAAAUAGUCUCACUCAUUUUAGAGCAGUCUGUUACAGGUUAGUUUAGUCCCUUUGGGUACAUUCUUUAUCUUAUUUGCUUCUCUUUCUUCCUUCCUCUCAUUCAUUAGAUGGCAUCACUACAGAUAAGUGGAGUAUGAAUUCUUUGCAGACAUCCUCCUGCCCUCCUUUCUCUCACCAGCUUCUAGCUCUUUGCCCUGCUGGUCUCUGGGAUUUGGUCUCUUCCUCUGAAAUGGCUGGUACAAUAAGCAGAGCUUAACCUACCAAUCUUGAUUGUACAUGUUGUACCCCUUUAACUCACACAAACUUGUAUAUCAAUUAUAUCUCAAUAAACCUAGGAAGAGUAGAUAAAAUAAAGGAAGCAAAAAGUGAGUUUGUUCUGGGCACAUCCACCAUCUCCUCCAUGGGUGGUAAAUCUCAUAGUUCAGUCUUAAUAAAAAAAGGGCUGCAGGAGACACAACUUAUGUAGGAGAAUAAAAAUAUUCUGGCUACAAAUUUCCAAAAUAUUAUCCUCACUACACCUUAUAAUUGUUUAAGUCCAGGCUAUGAAAUUUUGAUCCAUCUUUAUCAACCCCAUCUAUGAUACUUCUUGAUAAAACAAAUCCACAAAACACAUUAGAAGAUUUUCUUAGGCUUUUGCCCUCAGAGGGGAAGGGUUCUAGGGCAGAUAGUACAGAAAUAGAAUUCUUCAAGAUGUGCCCCAAGGUGGCAUGCUAGCCAUGACCUCUUGAGUGAGUAUACAUUGUGUCCUGACCAGGGCUGGGUGGUAGGUUUGGGGCAACCUAUAUUUUCUCACAAAUGCCAAAGCAUAUUCUUAUAAAGUUAAUAAACACUAAGGGUAUUCAAAGUGUCCCACUAGUGCAAUUGAAACAGCACUAGUUGUGCUGUUUGAAAUUGAUAUUGGACUGUUUUUUUGGAAUGAUUACUGCCUCUCUCUAAGCAUCAAUUCCUUCUUCCAUGAAACACACUUAUUUGCAGCGUUUUUAUGAUAAUCACAUGAGCUUCUGAACACAUGAUAUGUAGCACAUUAUCUGGCAGCCAGUAGGAGCUAAAUGGAUAUGAAUUCCAUUAUGUUCAUUGUUGGUACCUUAGCCUGAGCUUUUCAAAAUUAGUGAAAAUCUCUGGGAAAUGAAAUCAUACUCCUUGCCUUCUCUUCUCUCUGAGAUAAUUGGGCCAUUUCAACAUACAUAGUCUCUAAACUAGAACUCACAUCAAUAGGAAAUGAUGUCAAACCAGACAUUUGAAGGCACAGUUACUAACAACUGAAGGGGUACAAUUGAUAGCCAUCAGACUCUCUUCCUCUUCCCUUUGAUGUGAGGCAUGACCUGAGAAGCACAGGAAGUGCUGCAGGCUGAGGCUGAGGUCUAGCCAGGGCUGAGGUCUGGAUUCUGGACCAAGGUUGCUCCACGUUGGGAAGGAUGUGGUCACAGUCAUGAUAAGGGAAGUGUGUGCUCAUUUUCUUGGCUCCAAUGAUACUGUAGGUUCCCAGGGACCAUUAUAUUAGGCCUCCGUGUCCUUUUCUUCUUAUAUGAAUAUAGUAUUCCAUGGUUGUCAUUCUUUGAUUAUAACUGAUCUUGAACAGGUUUUUUUUUUUUUUCAAAUAAAUGUCUGACCCUCAAAAGCCUGAUUUAGUGUCAGCACUGUGUGUAUAUAAAAAGUUAUACCUGAAUACCCUGAAGUGAAAAUGCAUGCUUUCUGCCAUUGAAGUAAAUAUGUUUGUUUGUUUCAGUUGUAUCUGUCAAACUUUAACCAUAAACAAAAGGAUAGCAAUUCCAACAAAAAGUAAAAUCAUCAAGAAAUAUAACAUUAUUUUUUUGGGUGACAUAGUAAUUCUAUUUUUAUCCCAAAUAUAGUUAUAGUAUUAUAUUAUCUUCAGGUAGACAACAUAGUGAUUCAAUAUUUUAAUAGAUUAUACUCCAUUUAAAGUUAUUACAAAAAUAACCCUAUUUUCUGUGGCUUACUUAUUUUAUACAGAGUAGUCUGUAUCUCUUAAACCCAACCCCCUGUCUUGUCUCUCCCCACGUCCCUUUCCACACUGGUAACUAGUUUUUUCUCUGAGCUUUAUAUCUGUGAGCCUGUUACUAUUCUGUUAUUCACAUUCUUUUGUUGUAUUUUUCAGAUUACACAUAUGAGUGAUAACAUAAAAUACUGGUUUUCCUAUCCCACUUAUUUCACUGGAAAUUAAUUUAAAAAAAAUCCCUCACCGGAUCUGAGAAAUAGAGGUUGCCUUGAGUUGUGGUGUAGGUGGCAUAUGCGGCUCAGAUUCCACGUUGCUGUGGCUGUGGUAUAGGCUGGCAGCUGUAGCUCUGAUUCGACCCCUAGCUGGCAACCCCCAUAUGCCACGGGUAUGGCCCUCAAAAGAAAAAA